GGCAGCAGCUAAGAAUAUUCCGCAAUGGACGAAAGUCUGACGGAGCGACGCCGCGUGGAUGAUGAAGGCCGGAAGGUUGUAAAAUCCUUUUAUGACUGAGGAAUAAGGAAGUUGAGAGAAACGGCUUCUGGUGACUGUAGGUCAUGAAUAAGCAACGGCUAAUUACGUGCCAGCAGCCGCGGUAACACGUAAGUUGCGAGCGUUGUUCGGAAUUAUUGGGCGUAAAGGGCAUGUAGGCGGUUCUGCAAGUCUGGUGUGAAAUACCGGGGCUCAACCCCGGAACUGCGUUGGAAACUGCAGGACUUGAAUCGCUGAGGGGCAGCCAGAAUUCCAGGUGUAGGGGUGAAAUCUGUAGAUAUCUGGAAGAAUACCAAUGGCGAAGGCAGGCUGCCAGCAGAUGAUUGACGCUGAGGUGCGAAGGUGCGGGGAGCAAACAGGAUUAGAUACCCUGGUAGUCCGCACAGUCAACUAUGUACACUGGGUGUCCGCUCAUGAGAGUGGGUGCCGAAGCAAACGCGAUAAGUGUACCGCCUGGGGAGUAUGCCCGCAAGGGUGAAACUCAAAGGAAUUGACGG
rnacentral:rRNA from 1 species